CGGCGUGCUUAACACAUGCAAGUCGAACGCGAAAGGGACUUCGGUCCUGAGUAAAGUGGCGCACGGGUGAGUAACGCGUAGAUAACCUGUCUUCAUGUCUGGAAUAAUACGCCGAAAGGGGUACUAAUACCGGAUAUUCUUGCUUUUCAUAAGUUAUGCAAGCAAAGGUGGCCUCUGCAUAUGCUACUGCAUGAAGAGGGGUCUGCGUACCAUUAGCUAGUAGGUGGGGUAAUGGCCUACCUAGGCGACGAUGGUUAGCGGGUCUGAGAGGAUGAUCCGCCACACUGGCACUGGAACACGGGCCUGACUCCUACGGGAGGCAGCAGUGAGGAAUAUUGCGCAAUGGGGGAAACCCUGACGCAGCGACGCCGCGUGAGUGAAGGAAGGCCUUCGGGUCGUAAAGCUCUGUCAAGAGGAAAGAAGUGUACAAUGGCUAAUACCUGUUGUAUUUGACGGUACCUCUAAAGGAAGCACCGGCUAACUCCGUGCCAGCAGCCGC
rnacentral:rRNA from 1 species